AUUGAACGCUGGCGGCAGGCCUAACACAUGCAAGUCGAACGAGUGGCGGACGGGUGAGUAAUGUCUGGGAAACUGCCUGAUGGAGGGGGAUAACUACUGGAAACGGUAGCUAAUACCGCAUACCAUCGGAUGUGCCCAGAUGGGAUUAGCUUGUUGGUGGGGUAACGGCUCACCAAGGCGACGAUCCCUAGCUGGUCUGAGAGGAUGACCCAGCAAACUGUAAAUGGGACCACGUUCAGACUGCCUCGGGAGGCCGGCGUGGGGGAAUAUGGAACAUUGGCGGAAGCCCUAUGGAGGCCUGGCGCGUGUAAUGAGAAGGCCUUUGGGUUUUUAAGGAACUUCCGGGGGGAGGCGUUACCCGCAGAAGAAGCACCGGCUAACUCCGUGCCAGCAGCCGCGGUAAUUC
rnacentral:rRNA from 1 species